GGAGUAUAGCUCAGAGGUAGAGCACAUGCUUAGCAUGCACUAGGUUCUGGGUUCAAUCCUCAGUUCCUCCA
rnacentral:tRNA from 1 species